AUUGAACGCUGGCGGCAGGCCUAACACAUGCAAGUCGAACGAGCGGCGGACGGGUGAGAAAUGUCUGGGAAACUGCCCGAUGGAGGGGGAUAACUACUGGAAACGGUAGCUAAUACAGCAUACCAUCAGAUGUGCCCCGAUGGUAUUAGCUAGUAGGUGGGGUAACGGCUCACCUAGUCGACGAUCCCUAGCUGGUCUGAGAGGAUGACCAGCCACACUGGAACUGAGACACGGUCCAGACUCCUACGGGAGGCAGCAGUGGGGAAUAUUGCACAAUGGGCGCAAGCCUGAUGCAGCCAUGCCGCGUGUAUGAAGAAGGCCUUCGGGUUGUAAAGCACUUUCAGCGGGGAGGCGUUACCCGCAGAAGAAGCACCGGCUAACUCCGUGCCAGCAGCCGCGGUAAUUC
rnacentral:rRNA from 1 species